UUAAUCCCUACAAUUUCUGUUUUUUAUCUGUGCAGAACUGCAGAUUCUUUUGUGUAUAUGCCUACAAGGUGUUUGGUGAAAAUCCAAGCAGCCCCUUGAUUUCGUUUCUUGCAGAUAUUUCUAUGGGUUUCUCCAUUAGUAUGUUUUUCCUCAACUACCAUAUCAAUCUGUCAGCCGUUGGCACAUGUGACCUUGGUUGAGGAAUUUGUUCCACAUCUCCUUGUACCAAGAGCGGAUCUGCGCCCCACCUCUCCAGUGUUGGCUCAUUGGCCACCGCGGACCCUAGCUGUCCUUGGGACGCCAUCAACAGGUGUUGUAUAAUGCUGUUACUUGCUGGUGAUGUUGUUUCUGUGCUGCCUAUGGAGUGACAAUAAUGACAUUCAAUUAUGAUGCGUUUGACCGUAACACAAAGAUUAAGAAAUUAAUGACCAUUUGUCGAUUGACGACUUGAAAAGAAGCAUGGAGGCAACAAAUGGGGUAUUAUUUUGAUCUCAUCUCACACAUUAAAUUACUCUUUGUCCUACUAUAUGGCUUUUUAUUAGUUAUUUACACAUACUCGAUGCAUUGCAAAAUGACUGUUUCUGGAAAUCGCCAUAUCCCGUAUCCCCCCAACCGUAUUGUCGUAUCUGUCGCUCUAUCAGUGCUUCAUUGGUCUAGGUAAAAAUGUGUAGAUUUCCUUUAUUUUGUGCAUAUUCUCUUCAAUCAGCGUUGUUACUUUUUGUGCUUGGUGUUUUAUUCCAGCCAGAUGCAAGCGGCAAAAGGCGACUGGGAUUAACCAUCGAUGCUGGUCUUCAUGUCCAAAUCCUGGUCUUUGUUGGUAUGUACAUGAGAUGGGGGAAAUCAUGUUCUUAAGAGAGCGAGAUGUGGAAGGGGACAGGUAUAUUGAACAUGUGUUGAUCCACUAAUGGCAAAUCAGCUACCAGCUGGCUAUUAAGACUUCGCUUAGGUGUUAUUAGCCGCUACAUCCUCCGCUUCAUUGAGCCUCGACCCCCCACUCUUCUGAGGCUUCGUCAGAGAAUUGUUUUGUUGGACCAUACGACUGGAUUGAAGUUGCUAGCCUGAAUGCAAAUUUCCUUGAGAUGGUUCAUCACCAAAAUCCUUAAGAGAUGUUCGAAGGUGGGUCAGUGAGUGGUGAUGAUGUUCAUGAGAAUUCCCACACAUUGGUAAUUUUUGUAUGGAGGUGCAGAGUGCCACGAUCUCAAAUCUAGAGCAAUCUUGUGUCAGUGUUCACGUAUUGUGAUCAUCUAUGUGGCAUUGGGAUAAACACGACAACAGUUCGUCACCUAAAAGGACAGGAUGACACCAAACACCAAAGGAGUUAUGAUAGCAGCACUUAUAGGCAUUGAGGAAUUGGCAAAGAGAUUACGCUUCAUAGGUAUGAAGUUAGAACAACGGCUGGAAACUACAAAAGGCCGUUUCUAAUUACGUUUGUUGGAUCUGUCUUACCUACAAUGCAUGUGUGACCUCUGGAGAAGCCACUUUUUGUUUCGUCUGCAGUAUACUCCAUGUUUAGUUCCAAUGAUGCCCUAACCCUUUUGUUCCUGCUCUGAAGAAUAAGACAUGUAUAGGCUUCAGAUUUUUGUAAUCAUCUAUGUGCUAAACAUCCCUUUGUGGUCAUGUGUUUUAUAUGUAAUCAAGUAUCUAUCCAUGAUGAUAUAUAUGCCCAACUAAUGUUUGAAAAGAUCCAUCAUCUGUAUCACCACUGCUGGAUAAACCACUAUAAAUCUACUAGCAGUACCGGUCAUAUAAAAUAGCUACCGUUACUGAUCAUUUGUAUUACCACUGCUGGAUAACCAUUAUAAAUAUAUCAGCUAAUGUUUCUUUCA